GACGAACGCUGGCGGCGUGCUUAACACAUGCAAGUCGAACGGUAAGGCCCUUCGGGGUACACGAGUGGCGAACGGGUGAGUAACACGUGGGUGAUCUGCCCUGCACUUCGGGAUAAGCCUGGGAAACUGGGUCUAAUACCGGAUAGGACCACGGCCUGCAUGGGUUGUGGUGGAAAGCUUUUGCGGUGUGGGAUGGGCCCGCGGCCUAUCAGCUUGUUGGUGGGGUGAUGGCCUACCAAGGCGACGACGGGUAGCCGGCCUGAGAGGGGGUCCGGCCACACUGGGACUGAGAUACGGCCCAGACUCCUACGGGAGGCAGCAGUGGGGAAUAUUGCACAAUGGGCGAAAGCCUGAUGCAGCGACGCCGCGUGGGGGAUGACGGCCUUCGGGUUGUAAACCUCUUUCACCAGGGACGAAGCGCAAGUGACGGUACCUGGAGAAGAAGCACCGGCCAACUACGUGCCAGCAGCCGCCGUAA
rnacentral:rRNA from 1 species